GACUAUGAGGGCAAUGUGGCUGCGACAUCUGUCACUUCAUUAAUCUCCAGGGUUAAUUCAACUGGGUAAUUUAGCCAGAGUGAACUGCCUGGCUAGGCAGUUGUCCCCUUCUUCCUUCCCUGCUCCAGGUUGUAUCCUUCCCAGCAUUCCCUGAUAGAGGAGAACUUAUUUUGGUCAAGAGUAUAAAGCAGCUGUAGUCCCCAGUUAGAGCACCCUCUAAAUAAACUCUUAAGGUCCAUUUGUAGGAGAACAUAGGGUAUUCAAACCCAUGAGUCCAGACACAUCCAAGCAAAACACUGCAUGUGGACAGUCUGCCCU
rnacentral:snRNA from 1 species